UUUUCAGAACUGCUCUAUUGUUUUCUUAAAAAAAACAAAAACAAAAAAACAAAAAAACAAAAACACAUCCAGUAUUUUUGUUUGUUUUAGCAGUCAUCAUUUACAAUUUGCAGUGGUUAACUUGGCAAGGCUUCCUUCCUUGUUUGUCCCUGUAGCCACCAUUUACCAAUUAGCAACAGAUCGGUAGAGCGUC